rnacentral:lncRNA from 1 species
UAUUAAUAACCUGCAGGAUUAUACAAGAUUAUAGAGCACAAACUGUAAUACCUGAGAUCCGCACUGCCAGAGAGAAAGACACAUGAACAACAUGAAACAAACAGGGCAAGAAAAUGCCCCAAACAAACCAAGAUGCUACAAUAAUAGAAUCUAUUGACAGCACAGUAGAUGAAAUGUCAGAAAAGAAGUUCAAAAUAUACAGAAUCAAAAUGAUCUGAGAAGCACAGAAUAAUAUAAGACAGCAAUUAUAGGCAAUAAUUAAUCACUGCAACAAAGACAUAAAAUACAGGUAGUAAAAGAUUACUUCAGGAAAGAACAACUCCAAUAUAACCUAUCAAAAUCUCUGGGACACUUUGAAGGCUGUGUUAAGAGUAAAGUUCAUUACAUUGAGCUCAUUCAUUAAAAGAAUAAAAAGUCAACAAGUAAAUGACCUGACAUUACAUCUCAAAGCCCUAGAAAAAGAAGAACAAAUCAUCACCGAAAGUAGUCAAAAACAGGAAAUAAUUAAAAUCAGGACUGAAAUCAAUGAAACUGAAACAAAAGAAACAAUUGAAAAAAACUGACAAAACAAAAAACUAGUUAUUUGAAAAAAAUAAAUGAAGUUGAUAAACCCUUAGCCACCCUAACGAAAAGAAGAGGGAAAACCCAAAAUUCAUGAUGAAAAAGGAAAUAUUAUGACAGACAUUAGUGAAAUACAGAAGAUUGAAAACUGUUUUGAAAAUUUAUACUCCAGUAAAAUAGAAAAUCCCAAAGACAUGGACAAAUUUCUAGAGGCAUAUGAUCUGCCCAAACUCAAUCAGGAGGACAUACACAAUUAAAACAGAUCAAUUGCAAGCAAGGAAAUAGAAGAUGCCAUCAAAAGCUUCCUAACCAGGCUGAGAUUGUGGCUCAGUGGUAGAGUCCUUGCCUAGCAUGCGCAAGGCAUGGGUUCCAUCCCCAGAACCACAUAAAAAAAC